rnacentral:rRNA from 1 species
CCUACGGGAGGCAGCAGUGGGGAAUAUUGGACAAUGGGCGCAAGCCUGAUCCAGCCAUGCCGCGUGAGUGAUGAAGGUCUUAGGAUUGUAAAGCUCUUUCACCGGUGAAGAUAAUGACGGUAACCGGAGAAGAAGCCCCGGCUAACUUCGUGCCAGCAGCCGCGGUAAUACGAAGGGGGCUAGCGUUGUUCGGAAUUACUGGGCGUAAAGCGCACGUAGGCGGAUAUUUAAGUCAGGGGUGAAAUCCCAGAGCUCAACUCUGGAACUGCCUUUGAUACUGGGUAUCUUGAGUAUGGAAGAGGUGAGUGGAAUUCCGAGUGUAGAGGUGAAAUUCGUAGAUAUUCGGAGGAACACCAGUGGCGAAGGCGGCUCACUGGUCCAUUACUGACGCUGA